AUUGAACGCUGGCGGCAGGCCUAACACAUGCAAGUCGAACGAGUGGCGGACGGGUGAGUAAUGUCUGGGAAUCUGCCUGAUGGAGAGGGAUCACUACUGGAAACGGUUGCUAAUACCGCAUACCAGCAGCUGUGCCCAGAUGGGAUUAGCUAGUUGGUGGGGUAAUGGCUCACCACGGCGACGAUCCGUAACUGGUCUGAGAGGAUGACCAGCCACACUGGAACUGAGACACGGUCCAGACUCCUACGGGAGGCAGCAGUGGGGAAUAUUGCACAAUGGGCGCAAGCCUGAUGCAGCCAUGCCGCGUGUAUGAAGAAGGCCUUCGGAUUGUAAAGCACUUUCAGUGGGGAGGCGUUACCAGCAGAAGAAGCACCGGCUAACUCCGUGCCAGCAGCCGCGGUAAUAC
rnacentral:rRNA from 1 species